UGGAGAUGCCGGGGAAUGAACCCGGGGCCUUACACAUGCGAAGCGAACGCUCUACCACUGAGCCACAUCAAC
rnacentral:tRNA from 1 species